rnacentral:rRNA from 1 species
AGCGAACGCUGGCGGCAGGCCUAACACAUGCAAGUCGAGCGCCCAGCAACGGGAGCGGCAGACGGGUGAGUAACGCGUGGGGAUGUGCCCAAUGGUGCGGAAUAACCCAGGGAAACUUGGAUUAAUACCGCAUGUGCCCUUCGGGGGAAAGAUUUAUCGCCAUUGGAUCAACCCGCGUCUGAUUAGCUAGUUGGUGAGGUAAAGGCUCACCAAGGCGACGAUCAGUAGCUGGUCUGAGAGGAUGAUCAGCCACACUGGGACUGAGACACGGCCCAGACUCCUACGGGAGGCAGCAGUGGGGAAUAUUGGACAAUGGGCGCAAGCCUGAUCCAGCCAUGCCGCGUGAGUGAUGAAGGCCUUAGGGUUGUAAAGCUCUUUCGCCGGUGAAGAUAAUGACGGUAACCGGAGAAGAAGCCCCGGCUAACUUCGUGCCAGCAGCCGCGGUAAGAC